rnacentral:RNase_P_RNA from 1 species
UAAGGUAUUAAAGUUGAUCGCUGCUUGGUAACAAGGAGAGGAAAGUCCGAGCUCCAUAGAGCAAGAGGGCAGCUAACGGCUGCUAAAGGUAACUUUAAGGAAAGUGCCACAGAAAAUAGACCGCCAGUAAUGGUAAGGGUGAAAAGGUGGUGUAAGAGACCACCAGUUUCUUAGGAGACUAAGAAAGCUUGGUAAACCCCCUCUGGAGCAAGACUAAAUAGGAAAGGUUAAGGGCUGCUCGUCCAGCUUUCAGGGUAAGUUGCUAGAAACUAUAAGCAAUUAUAGGAUUAGAUAAAUGAUCAGCAUAAACAAAACUCGGCUUAUUUAAUGCCUUAAAUU